CAGAAAGUCAAGGGCCAAGCGACUUUGCACCAGCCUCGGAAAAGAUGGGAGGCAGCAGCAGCAAAGUGGAAACGAUGCCGGCCGCUUCGGUGCCUCAGUAUGAGGACAGUCCUCCAGAGUCGACCAACAUCGGCGAUUUGGUUGUUUCUGGUCGGUACAAAGUGGCGUCUCCGGAGACGGUAGAGCUGAUGAAGCAGAUCCAGGCGCCUCGUGAUCCGAGCAAAAUGUACCCCGACUCCGACGUCAAGGAUCUGAAGCAGUACAUCAUUGAGCAGGAAGGCCUGGAAAUCGGCCAAGCUCGCCGGCGAGCGCUGGCACAGCAGUGGCGGUUUUUUUUGUCGUGCGAGCCGAUGCAGCGCGGCUUAGACGCAGGAAUUAUACUUGGUAGCGUAUCAGCGUUUAUCGCGUUCCGGAAGCCACGAAACCGCAUUCCCGCGAAAAUAUCGCUGAUAUUUGUCGGUGGCUUCUGUGUCGGAAUGGUGUCUGUUCCACUUAUGGUGGUUGCGACGGACGCGUACAAUUCGCAGCGUAUAAAAAAGUUGGAACAGGAGCUCUUUGAGAAGCAGAGGUCGGAAUUCUAUAAGCGGUAGAUAUUGCUGAGUAUGCAGCUGCCGCGCCUACUGUGGUGUUUUUUUUUUCGCGUGUCUGUGCAACUUAUCGGAGUCGUUGAAAUGGGAGUGAUGCGCACUCUGCAAUGUGAUCGGAAGAGUAUGUUCUUUUUCUGAAACAUACCGAAUGAUAGCACAUUUGUAGAGUUGAGCUAGAAAAGAAUACUGCUGUAAGUGAAUGAAUC
rnacentral:misc_RNA from 1 species